GACUGUUAAUACCGCAUAGUAUCUGUGGAUUAAAGGUGGCUUUUGGGCUGUCGCAGAUGGAUGAGCCUGCGUUGGAUUAGCUAGUUGGUGGGGUAAGGGCCUACCAAGGCUACGAUCCAUAGCUGAUUUGAGAGGAUGAUCAGCCACAUUGGGACUGAGACACGGCCCAAACUCCUACGGGAGGCAGCAGUGAGGAAUAUUGGACAAUGGGGGCAACCCUGAUCCAGCAAUGCCAUGUGUGUGAAGAAGGCCUUAGGGUUGUAAAGCACUUUAGUUGGGGAAGAAAGCUUUGAGGUUAAUAGCCUUGAGGAAAAGGACGUUACCCAAAGAAUAAGCACCGGCUAACUCCGUGCCAGCAGCCGCGGUAAUACGGGGGGUGCAAGCGUUAAUCGGAAUUACUGGGCGUAAAGGGUCUGUAGGUGGUUUGUUAAGUCAGAUGUGAAAGCCUAGGGCUCAACCUUGGAACUGCAUUUGAUACUGGUAAACUAGAGUACGGUAGAGGAAUGGGGAAUUUCUGGUGUAGCGGUGAAAUGCGUAGAGAUCAGAAGGAACACCAAUGGCGAAGGCAACAUUCUGGACCGAUACUGACACUGAGGGACGAAAGCGUGGGGAUCAAACAGGAUUAGAUACCCUGGUAGUCCACGCUGUAAACGAUGAGUACUAGCUGUUGGAGUCGGUGUAAAGGCUCUAGUGGCGCAGCUAACGCGAUAAGUACUCCGCCUGGGGACUACGGCCGCAAGGCUAAAACUCAAAGGAAUUGACGGGGACCCGCACAAGCGGUGGAGCAUGUAGUUUAAUUCGAUGCAACGCGAAGAACCUUACCUGGUCUUGACAUCCUGCGAUCUUUCUAGAGAUAGAUUGGUGCCUUCGGGAACGCAGUGACAGGUGCUGCACGGCUGUCGUCAGCUCGUGUUGUGAAAUGUUGGGUUAAGUCCCGCAACGAGCGCAACCCCUAUUGAUAGUUACCAUCAUUAAGUUGGGUACUCUAUUAAGACUGCCGCUGACAAGGCGGAGGAAGGUGGGGACGACGUCAAGUCAUCAUGGCCCUUACGACCAGGGCUACACACGUGCUACAAUGGGUAUACAGA
rnacentral:rRNA from 1 species